rnacentral:rRNA from 1 species
AAUGAACGCUGGCGGCGUGCUUAACACAUGCAAGUCGCACGAGAACGCUUCAGCUUGCUGAAGUAAGUAAAGUGGCGCACGGGUGAGUAACGCGUGGGUAAUCUACCCUUGAAUUGGGGAUAACCCGCCGAAAGGUGGGCUAAUACCGAAUGACAUCUUGGAAACUUAUGUUUUCAGGAUCAAAGGUGGCCUCUACAUGUAAGCUACUGUUUGGGGAUGAGCCCGCGUACCAUUAGCUUGUUGGUAGGGUAAUGGCCUACCAAGGCUACGAUGGUUAGCUGGUCUGAGAGGAUGAUCAGCCACACUGGAACUGACACACGGUCCAGACUCCUACGGGAGGCAGCAGUGAGGAAUUUUGCGCAAUGGGGGAAACCCUGACGCAGCAACGCCGCGUGAGUGAUGAAGGCUUUCGGGUCGUAAAGCUCUGU